rnacentral:rRNA from 1 species
CCUACGGGGGGCAGCAGUUAGGAAUAUUGGACAAUGGGCGCAAGCCUGAUCCAGCCAUGCCGCGUGAGUGAUGAAGGCCUUCGGGUUGUAAAGCUCUUUAGCCGAUGUCUGUAGUCUGAAAAUAAGCCCCGGCUAACUUCGUGCCAGCAGCCGCGGUAAUACGAAGGGGGCGAGCGUUAUUCGGAAUCACUGGGCGUAAAGCGUGCGUAGGCUGUUUUGUAAGUCGGAAGUGAAAGCCCAGGGCUCAACCUUGGAAUUGCUUUCGAGACUGCAAGACUAGAGUCCGGGAGAGGAUAGCGGAAUUUCCAGUGUAGUAGUGAAAUACGUAGAUAUUUGAAGGAACACCAGUGGCGUAAGCGGCUAUCUGGACCGGACUGACGCUGAGGCACGAAAGCGUGGGGAUCAAACAGAUUAGAUACCCUUGUAGUC